rnacentral:rRNA from 1 species
GGGUUGUGAGGUUAAGCGACUAAGCGUACACGGUGGAUGCCCUGGCAGUCAGAGGCGAUGAAGGACGUGCUAAUCUGCGAAAAGCGCCGGCGAGGUGAUAUGAACCUUUGACCCGGCGAUGUCCGAAUGGGGAAACCCAGUGUGUUCCGACACACUAUCGUUAACUGAAUACAUAGGUUAACGAGGCGAACCGGGGGAACUGAAACAUCUAAGUACCCCGAGGAAAAGAAAUCAACCGAGAUUCCCCCAGUAGCGGCGAGCGAACGGGGAGCAGCCCAGAGUCUGAAUCAGCUUGUGUGUUAGUGGAACGGUCUGGAAAGUCCGACGGUACAGGGUGAUAGUCCCGUACACGAAAAUGCACAGGCUGUGAACUCGAAGAGUAGGGCGGGACACGUGGUAUCCUGUCUGAAUAUGGGGGGACCAUCCUCCAAGGCUAAAUACUCCUGACUGACCGAUAGUGAACCAGUACCGUGAGGGAAAGGCGAAAAGAACCCCGGCGAGGGGAGUGAAAAAGAACCUGAAACCGUGUACGUACAAGCAGUGGGAGCACCUUCGGGUGUGACUGCGUACCUUUUGUAUAAUGGGUCAGCGACUUAUAUUCUGUAGCAAGGUUAACCGUAUAGGGGAGCCGAAGGGAAACCGAGUCUUAACUGGGCGUUAAGUUGCAGGGUAUAGACCCGAAACCCGGUGAUCUAGCCAUGGGCAGGUUGAAGGUUGGGUAACACUAACUGGAGGACCGAACCGACUAAUGUUGAAAAAUUAGCGGAUGACUUGUGGCUGGGGGUGAAAGGCCAAUCAAACCGGGAGAUAGCUGGUUCUCCCCGAAAGCUAUUUAGGUAGCGCCUCGUGAACUCAUCUUCGGGGGUAGAGCACUGUUUCGGCUAGGGGGCCAUCCCGGCUUACCAACCCGAUGCAAACUACGAAUACCGAAGAAUGUUAUCACGGGAGACACACGGCGGGUGCUAACGUCCGUCGUGAAGAGGGAAACAACCCAGACCGCCAGCUAAGGUCCCAAAGUCAUGGUUAAGUGGGAAACGAUGUGGGAAGGCACAGACAGCCAGGAUGUUGGCUUAGAAGCAGCCAUCAUUUAAAGAAAGCGUAAUAGCUCACUGGUCGAGUCGGCCUGCGCGGAAGAUGUAACGGGGCUAAACCAUGCACCGAAGCUGCGGCAGCGACACUAUGUGUUGUUGGGUAGGGGAGCGUUCUGUAAGCCGUUGAAGGUGGCCUGUGAGGGUUGCUGGAGGUAUCAGAAGUGCGAAUGCUGACAUAAGUAACGAUAAAGCGGGUGAAAAGCCCGCUCGCCGGAAGACCAAGGGUUCCUGUCCAACGUUAAUCGGGGCAGGGUGAGUCGACCCCUAAGGCGAGGCCGAAAGGCGUAGUCGAUGGGAAACAGGUUAAUAUUCCUGUACUUGGUGUUACUGCGAAGGGGGGACGGAGAAGGCUAUGUUAGCCGGGCGACGGUUGUCCCGGUUUAAGCAUGUAGGCGGAGGUUCCAGGUAAAUCCGGUACCUUUUAACGCUGAGGUGUGAUGACGAGGCACUACGGUGCUGAAGUAACAAAUGCCCUGCUUCCAGGAAAAGCCUCUAAGCAUCAGGUAACAUCAAAUCGUACCCCAAACCGACACAGGUGGUCAGGUAGAGAAUACCAAGGCGCUUGAGAGAACUCGGGUGAAGGAACUAGGCAAAAUGGUGCCGUAACUUCGGGAGAAGGCACGCUGAUAUGUAGGUGAAGCCCCUGCGGGUGGAGCUGAAAUCAGUCGAAGAUACCAGCUGGCUGCAACUGUUUAUUAAAAACACAGCACUGUGCAAACACGAAAGUGGACGUAUACGGUGUGACGCCUGCCCGGUGCCGGAAGGUUAAUUGAUGGGGUUAGCGGCAACGCGAAGCUCUUGAUCGAAGCCCCGGUAAACGGCGGCCGUAACUAUAACGGUCCUAAGGUAGCGAAAUUCCUUGUCGGGUAAGUUCCGACCUGCACGAAUGGCGUAAUGAUGGCCAGGCUGUCUCCACCCGAGACUCAGUGAAAUUGAACUCGCUGUGAAGAUGCAGUGUACCCGCGGCAAGACGGAAAGACCCCGUGAACCUUUACUAUAGCUUGACACUGAACACUGGUCCUUGAUGUGUAGGAUAGGUGGGAGGCUUUGAAGUGUGGACGCCAGUCUGCAUGGAGCCGUCCUUGAAAUACCACCCUUUAAUGGCUGGUGUUCUAACGUAGACCCGUAAUCCGGGUUGCGGACAGUGUCUGGUGGGUAGUUUGACUGGGGCGGUCUCCUCCCAAAGAGUAACGGAGGAGCACGAAGGUUAGCUAAUCCUGGUCGGACAUCAGGAGGUUAGUGCAAUGGCAUAAGCUAGCUUGACUGCGAGAGUGACGGCUCGAGCAGGUGCGAAAGCAGGUCAUAGUGAUCCGGUGGUUCUGAAUGGAAGGGCCAUCGCUCAACGGAUAAAAGGUACUCCGGGGAUAACAGGCUGAUACCGCCCAAGAGUUCAUAUCGACGGCGGUGUUUGGCACCUCGAUGUCGGCUCAUCACAUCCUGGGGCUGAAGUAGGUCCCAAGGGUAUGGCUGUUCGCCAUUUAAAGUGGUACGCGAGCUGGGUUUAGAACGUCGUGAGACAGUUCGGUCCCUAUCUGCCGUGGGCGCUGGAGAAUUGAGGGGGGCUGCUCCUAGUACGAGAGGACCGGAGUGGACGCAUCACUGGUGUUCGGGUUGUCAUGCCAAUGGCACUGCCCGGUAGCUAAAUGCGGAAGAGAUAAGUGCUGAAAGCAUCUAAGCACGAAACUUGCCCCGAGAUGAGUUCUCCCUGAGCCUUUAAGGCUCCUGAAGGAACGUUGAAGACGACGACGUUGAUAGGUCGGGUGUGUAAGCGCAGCGAUGCGUUGAGCUAACCGAUACUAAUGAACCGUGAGGCUUAACCUUACAACGCCGAAGGUGUUU